rnacentral:lncRNA from 1 species
CCCAGUCUUCCUUCACAAGUAGAGCCACUGUGUCAAAAUGACCGACCGCUCUUUCCCACCGAUCGAUCGAAUCCAUGCUGCCUAAAUCAGAAGAAGGAAACUGAACUGUCUUCUGAGAUUUUGCCCGCGGACCUGCCUAUAGCUGUAGUACCACACCAAUCCCCUGCUGAGGAAGUCAUUCGGGUAUGAUCUUCUCCUGAAUCUUAUAACACUAAUGAAAUAUACUAUGAUGAUUUGAACUGUCUUAUGAGAUUUUGCCCGCGGACCUGCCUACAGCUCUAGUACCACACCAAUCCCCUUCUAAGGAAGUCAUUCGGGUACAAUCUUCUCCUGAAUCUGUUAACACUAAUAAAAUAUACUAUGAUGAUUUGAACUG